rnacentral:sRNA from 12 species
CCCUCGGACUGCUAUAUCAAACCAAAGUAGCUUUAAGCAAAAUGGAGUAGGUUGAACAGGGAA